rnacentral:rRNA from 1 species
AUGAACGCUAGCGGCAGGCUUAACACAUGCAAGUCGAGGGACGGUAGCAAUACUGGACCGGCAAACGGGUGCGGAACACGUACGCAACUUACCCCAAACAGGUGAAUAGCCUUCUGAAAAGGAGAUUAAUACACCGUAAAAUAUAGAGAUGGCAUCAUCCUUAUAUAAUAGCUCAGGCGGUUUGGGAUGGGCGUGCGGCUGAUUAGGUAGUUGGUGGGGUAACGGCUCACCAAGCCAACGAUCAGUAACUGGUGUGAGAGCACGACCAGUCACACGGGCACUGAGACACGGGCCCGACUCCUACGGGAGGCAGCAGUGAGGAAUAUUGGUCAAUGGACGCAAGUCUGAACCAGCCAUGCCGCGUGAAGGAUGAAGGCGUUCUGCGUUGUAAACUUCUUUUAUCUGGGAAGAAACCUACUUUUUCUAAAGUAGCCGACGGUACCAGAGGAAUAAGCACCGGCUAACUCCGU